UUCACUCCUCUUUCUUCUCCCAAUGGCGGCUGCGACGUUCCGCUCCGUACUCCACCGCAAUCGCCUCCUGCCCUUGUUCGAAACCUGCUGCCUUCGACAUCUCCUCUUCUUCUCCUCCUCUGUCGACGAUGCCGCCGCAGUAGCCGGCACCAUGUCUCCAGAUCCCCACUUCAUGGUGGAAUACCUCGUGAACUCCUGCGGGUUCUCCCCCUCCGAGGCAGCCAAGGUCUCUAAACCCCUUGCGCACCUCCGAGCCACUGAGAAACCCGACGCCGUCCUUAACUUCUUGAGAUCUCAGGGCUUCGACGGCGCCGGUAUCAGGAAGGUGAUAUCUGCGGAUCCCAGAUACUUAUGCUACAACGUGGAGAAGAACCUCGCCUCGAAGUUUCAGUUCUUACGUGAUUUGGGCCUAUCGGAGUCGGACAUCGUCGAUGUCAUCCGGAAUAACCAUGUGAUCCUCUGCCGCAACGUUCACCGUUCCCUUGUCCCCAAAUUGGAGAUGUGGGAAAGUCUCUUGGGAUCGAGAGAGCUUGUUCUCAAGCGUCUCAAGAAGACAGGAUGGCUUUUCUUCUCCAGCGUUGAGAAGACAUUGCAUCCUAACCUAAAGUUCUUGAGGGAUGAGUGCGGCAUUCCUGAAGAAAGGCUCUCUCUCGUCUUGAGAAGUCACCCAAAAUUAAUCUCACAGAAACCAGAGUCACUCCGAGCUUUGGUGGCGAGAGCCGAUGAGCUGGGGACGCCACGGCUAUCUCGGAUGUUCCUGUGGACACUUGUUGUUCUCCAAAUGGCAAGCAAAGAAACGUUCGAGGCCAAGGCCGAGCUCAUGAGGAGCUUCGGGUGGUCGGAGUCGGAGUUUUCUUCCGUAGUCAGGAAAGUACCCACCUUCUUAUGCAUGUCCCUCGAUAUGAUGCGCAGAAAAAUGGAAUUUUUUAUCAAUGUAGUCGGGUACACCCCUUCCUUCAUCGCCUCCCAACCAACUAUCUUGCUAUAUAGUCUGCAGAAGAGGGUCAUUCCUCGGUUUCAUGUGACGGAGAUGUUGAAAUUGAAAGGAUUGUGGACUGGACAAUGCAAGUUUACAUCGAUUAUCGUAUUCUCAGAUACCAAAUUCAUGGAGAAGUUUGUUCUCCCUCACAAAGAAAAUGUUCCUGAGCUGCUUGAUAUUUUGAGAGCUGCUGGCACCUGUAAAGGUAAUGAUAACUUUCAUUUGCAUCGGAGGAUGAGAAAGGGCUUAGCUGAUGGUCUGAUUUGCCAACGACGAAGGUAGAUUAUUCCCCAAAUUUGAGAUUUUGGAAAUUUUAUGCAAAGAGCUUAUCAAAACGUGAAUUGAGGUUGUAUGGACUUUUCUCUGAGCAUCAAAACUUGAGUAUGCUCUCCUGAAAUGUCUUCAGCCUCCUUUGGAAUUGCUAAUCCGCCCUUUCCCGCAUCAACAAACUCUUACAUGCCUCCUUAGGCUUCUGCUCAUCCGCCCUUUGUGAUUCGAGCAGCAGAUCUCUUCAUUCUUGGAGUUCAUUGUUGGAUUCGGUGGAUGCAACUUCUCAUCCACCCUUUGUAUCAUGGCUGAAGCUUCUGUUCUACCUGAAAGCCUUCGGAAGGCUAAGAGAAUUGCGAUGAUUCGCUGGUUCCUUAAGAAUAUUUUGGAUGACAUCUCAUCUCUCUGUUCAAGUCUUUAUGUUGUCGAUGUGGUCUAUGUUUCCUGGCGUCAUUCAUGACGUGGCUUGUCAGCUAGUCAAUUUUGGGGGAAUUGUAAAUUCUCUUCUGUUUUUUUUUCCUCUUCUAAUGAUGGAUAAGUGUUGCUUAAUCCACUUUAACCUUUAAUGAAAUUUCUCCUUUUUUUCA